CUCGCCUUAGGGUGCCUGGGGACGCUGUACAUAUAAGAAACAAUAUUGUAUACCAUAUACGCAUUUAGACUAAGUUGUUUUAAUAGACAUUUUUUUUGUAGGCAUCAUCAAAUUUCCUUUACUUAUUUUGAUCGUGUUAACAUUUACUUGCAAUUCCAUUCCACAUCUAUGUUAGGGUUAAUAUGUAGUGAUGUAGAGCCGCAAAGAACAAUUGAAGGGACUUGAAAUUCCUUUUCAGUAAACUAGGUAAUAUCGGAAUAGGAAUGACCAUGCCGCUUUACUAGAAAUUUGCAAAAACCAUAUUGAGAGGAAUUAGCAAACUCAUCAUCUAGCACAGUUUCAAUGACUUCUUUUUGUUGAGGAAGAGAUGACAACUUUGACACAUGUUGACCUGCAGAAACACUAAAAGACAACAUAUGAGGUUCAAAAGUGCCUUUCUAAGGUCAUAAAUCUCCACAUUGAAAACAUUACUAAUAUGCAUAUGAUUAGGUAAGUAAAGUAAAUAUGCACUAGAUCAAGAUUUUUGCAAAAUGGAGAAUGGGUCAAUGGCGUAAGCCUAUAAUUUCUUAAGGAAAUUUUUUCGGAUAUUGUUUAGAAUGAACACAAACCAUGACAUAAUUAAUCACGCAUAGAAGUAGCAAGUUGGUAAUUUUCAUUACUUAAAGCAAAUUUUUUACUAAUCUGGACAUGCAAAUUAUGAAUAUGUUGGGCAAAAGAUUCAAUAGGAUAUGAAAUGCAAGUAUGUGGAGAAAAAGGAACAAUGCCAACUGUGUGCGAGGAGAAUAGCUAUGAACUAUCUUAAAGGGGCUUGUACCUGUUGAACAAUUGACAAAAUUAUAUAGGCAAACUUAGCAACUGAAAGAAUCAAAUCCUAAUUACCUUGUUUCUCCCCUACAAAGACACUGAAGAAAAUCAUCCAAACUAUGAUUAACAACUUCAAUUUGACCAUUUGCUUGUGGGUGAAAAGCUAAAGAAAACUUCAAACUAUUGCCAAACAAUUUCAAAAUGUCUUCCAAAAAUAACUAACAAAUUUUACAUCUCUAUCGGACACAAGAAGAAGUUAAAUCAUCUAAUUUGACAACUUCCCUAAAUAACAAUAAAGCCACAUAUGAAGCAUCAAUAGUCUUGUUACAUUGAAUUGAGACCUUAUUUUUGCACUAACAGCAAUUUUCCAUCUUUUGGAAACAUAAAAUUUCCUGUUUGUUUUCGUUGUUAUGAACCACUAUUAUGCAAUUAAAACCAUGUUAGUUGAAAUGGUUAUUAACAAGAAUGUUAUUUUUUAGAGCCAAAAGAUUUGUUGCAUUUCUGGAUUGGGCCCUAGGUUUGUGAUUUGGGCUCUUCUCUUGUGGGCUUCACAAUUAGGCCAGCUUGAUUUGUUAAAAUGGCUACAAGCCAUUUUUAACUUUUGCUGGGCACCUAUUUUGAACUUCCAAUCUUUUGACCUCAAACUGAUGUCAGUCAAGCUAUUUUUCAACACUCUCCCUGAGGUGUUACUGGGCUGGAUCUUCCUGUCGCUUGCUUUACAAGGGCGUGGAAUUGACCUUUUAUCUUCUAUUACGUGCAUCCAUGCUUGCCUUACAUGAGCCUAGGUCAGGCCUCUAAUUUUUAAUCCAUUCAUGCUUCUUAAAUUUUUUCUCUGAUCCCAGGGGUGAAUGGCUGCAAGGCCUGGCCACUUAAAAACCAUGUUGCAUUUUCUGGAUUGGGCCCUAAGGGUGUGCUUUGGGCUCUCCUCUUGUGUGCAUCACAAUUGGUCGGCUUGAUUUGCUAAGAUGGCCAAGCCAUUUUAACUUUUGUUGGGCCUAACAAUCUUUUUGAUCUCAAACCAAUCCGGGACAAGCAAUUUUUCAUGAAGAUUAUGACAGCCUGCUAAUUCCCAGUGGGAACUCUGCCUGACAAUUCAGUUUCUAAACAUUUUGGCAACCUUAUAUCAACUUACUUUACUUUCUUUCUUUCUUUCUUUUUCCAAUUGUUUUUUAAAGUGUAAUCAGGGGAAAAAAGUUAUUCAUGUUAAGCCUAUCAAUAUUACACCUUAUUCCAACUCAUCAAACAGAAAGCUUGUUAAUGCAAUUUAAAUAAUCUGCAUUACUUAUAGAUGUAACUGGUGCUGUUAUACCUUUUUGAGGAGAGUGAAAUACCAUGUUCUCAUUCUCCUUUUUUUAGCUUAACUAUUUUCAUUGCAAAUAACUUGAGAUAAGAAUCUCAAGUAGUUAGAUGUUUGCAGUGUUAUGUUUGUGACAUGAGUUCAAUUGAUGCAAUGACCUGUCCUAAGCAUGUUGAGAACAGUGUGAAGUAUGCAUUGCUAUGUUGUUGCAAAUACAUCUGUUGUAACUGUUUGUAAAUCUU
rnacentral:misc_RNA from 1 species